rnacentral:rRNA from 1 species
UAUCUCUGUAGAGUCUGCAUAUCAAUAAGCGGAGGAAAAGAAACUAACAAGGAUUCCCUUAGUAACGGCGAGUGAAGCGGGAAGAGCUCAAAUUUGAAAUCUUCAAGGUUCUACCUUGACGAAUUGUAGUUUAAAGAAGUGUUUUCUGUUAGAUGAGUAGCAAAAGUUCCUUGGAAUGGGACAUCAUAGAGGGUGAGAAUCCCGUAUUUGGUUAUUCAUUCUAGCUUUGCGAUACACUUUCAAAGAGUCGGAUUGUUUGGGAAUGCAGUCCAAAAUGGGUGGUAAAUUUCAUCUAAAGCUAAAUAUUGGCGAGAGACCGAUAGCGAACAAGUACCGUGAGGGAAAGAUGAAAAGAACUUUGAAAAGAGAGUUAAACAGUACGUGAAAUUGUCAAAAGGGAAGCGUUUGACACCAGUGUUGUUUUUCCGAAAAUCAAUUACGAAUGGCUUGAUUCUGUGUUGUAUUGACCUUAUCAGCUUUCUUCACUUUUUUCGAGUCUUUCUUAAUGCACUUUUCGGUUAACAAGUCAACAUCAAUUUCUUUUGUUGUAAAAGAGUAUUCGGAAGGUGGCUUUCUUUUCGGAGGAAGUGUUUAUAGCCCUAUACUUCUACAAUCGGAGAGAUUGAGGUCUGCAGCGUAGAUCCUUCGGGGUUAGAUACACUUGUGCUAAGUUGUAGCUUUUCAUAGACAACUUGUUGACUAUGUUUAGUCAUGCGGCUUACUCGCUUGUGCUAUUUUACCUACGCUUAGGAUGUUGAUCUGUAGUGCGUGCGC